UUCUUUCUUUAUUUUAUUUUUAUUUU
rnacentral:sRNA from 1 species